rnacentral:rRNA from 2 species
UAAGUCCCGCAACGAGCGCAACCCUUAUCCUUUGUUGCCAGCGAUUAGGUCGGGAACUCAAAGGAGACUGCCAGUGAUAAACUGGAGGAAGGUGGGGAUGACGUCAAGUCAUCAUGGCCCUUACGACCAGGGCUACACACGUGCUACAAUGGCGCAUACAAAGAGAAGCGACCUCGCGAGAGCAAGCGGACCUCAUAAAGUGCGUCGUAGUCCGGAUUGGAGUCUGCAACUCGACUCCAUGAAGUCGGAAUCGCUAGUAAUCGUGGAUCAGAAUGCCACGGUGAAUACGUUCCCGGGCCUUGUACACACCGCCCGUCACACCAUGGGAGUGGGUUGCAAAAGAAGUAGGUAGCUUAACCUUCGGGAGGGCGCUUACCACUUUGUGAUUCAUGACUGGGGUGAAGUCGUAACAAGGUAACCGUAGGGGAACCUGCGGUUGGA